AGCAGAUCAGCUGGAGAAAUGAAAACCUGCCACACUAAUUGAAUUGAAGAAGAACUUUAUGUAUAUUCCAAAUGUAUUCAGACAAGUGGAGUCAAACCCCAGCUGCUGGUGUAAUGUAAUACAGGACAAGUAUGAGAACCCAGAGCCACACAUCUUCCUAGUUAAGUAAAGGCUUAUUCCAUGCUGAAAACAGAAGAAAAGAAAACACAAAGUUUCAGCUGUGGAGCCUUCUUCAAGUAAGUACUGUAGCUGUGUCAGCUCCACACCCAAACUACUUUU
rnacentral:lncRNA from 1 species